rnacentral:rRNA from 1 species
UACGAAGGGGGCUAGCGUUGCUCGGAAUCACUGGGCGUAAAGCGCACGUAGGCGGCCCCUUAAGUCGGUGGUGAAAUCCUGGAGCUCAACUCCAGAACUGCCUUCGAUACUGGGAGUCUCGAGUCCGGGAGAGGUGAGUGGAACUGCGAGUGUAGAGGUGAAAUUCGUAGAUAUUCGCAAGAACACCAGUGGCGAAGGCGGCUCACUGGCCCGGUACUGACGCUGAGGUGCGAAAGCGUGGGGAGCAAACAGG